GAUUUAGCCAUGCUAGUCGCACGAGUUCAGACUCGUGGCGAAUAGCUCAGUAACACGUGGCCAAACUACCCUUCGGAACACAAUACCCUCGGGAAACUGAGGCUAAUAGUGUAUAUCGUACCACCACUGGAAUGAGUGGUACGCCAAACGCUCCGGCGCCGAAGGAUGUGGCUGCGGCCGAUUAGGUAGACGGUGGGGUAACGGCCCACCGUGCCAAUAAUCGGUAUGGGUCAUGAGAGUGAGAACCCAGAGACGGAAUCUGAGACAAGAUUCCGGGCCCUACGGGGCGCAGCAGGCGCGAAACCUUUACACUGCACGACAGUGCGAUAGGGGGAUCCCAAGUGCACAGGCAUAGCGCCUGUGCUUUUCGGCACCCUAAGGCGGUGCCAGAAUAAGGGCUGGGCAAGACCGGUGCCAGCCGCCGCGGUAAUACCGGCAGCCCAAGUGAUGGCCGAUCUUAUUGGGCCUAAAGCGUCCGUAGCUGGCCGCGCAAGUCCAUCGGGAAAUCCACCUGCUCAACAGGUGGGCGCCCGGUAGAAACUGCGUGGCUUGGGACCGGAAGGCGCGACGGGUACGUCCGGGGUAGGAGUGAAAUCCCGUAAUCCUGGACGGACCGCCGAUGGCGAAAGCACGUCGCGAGAACGGAUCCGACAGUGAGGGACGAAAGCCAGGGUCUCGAACCGGAUUAGAUACCCGGGUAGUCCUGGCCGUAAACAAUGUCUGCUAGGUGUGGCUCCCACUACGAGUGGGUGCUGUGCCGUAGGGAAGCCGCUAAGCAGACCGCCUGGGAAGUACGUCCGCAAGGAUGAAACUUAAAGGAAUUGGCGGG
rnacentral:rRNA from 1 species